GCCGAUGUGGCGGAACUGGCAGACGCGCUGCGUUCAGGGCGCAGUGGGCAUUUGGCCCGUGGGGGUUCAAAUCCCUCCAUCGGCA
rnacentral:tRNA from 1 species